rnacentral:snoRNA from 1 species
AACCCAUGGUGAGGGCACCUUCUCAGUAAGUCCUUGUAUUUCUCCCAUGCACCAUAGAGUGUUUCUAAACCCAUCUACACAAAAUAAGAGAUAUCAUUACACAAUUU